rnacentral:rRNA from 1 species
CAUGCAAGUCGCGGGGCAGCAUGAAUUUAGCUUGCUAAAUUUGAUGGCGACCGGCGCACGGGUGAGUAACGCGUAUCCAACUUCCCCUGUCCACGGGGAUAGCCCGUCGAAAGGCGGAUUAAUACCGUAUGAGGUCACACGAUGGCAUCAGACUGUGACGAAAGGUUUUGCGGACAGGGGAUGGGGGAUGCGUCCGAUUAGGUAGUCGGCGGGGUAACGGCCCACCGAGCCGACGAUCGGUAGGGGUUCUGAGAGGAAGGUCCCCCACAUUGGAACUGAGACACGGUCCAAACUCCUACGGGAGGCAGCAGUGAGGAAUAUUGGUCAAUGGACGUAAGUCUGAACCAGCCAAGUAGCGUGCAGGAUGACGGCCCUAUGGGUUGUAAACUGCUUUUAUGCGGGGAUAAAGUGUGGGACGUGUCCCAUAUUGCAGGUACUGCAUGAAUAAGGACCGGCUAAUUCCGUG